GCAAAGGUUGAUUUUGCUAGGGCCAGGCUUUAUUGAUCAUAUAUUUUGUAAAUGUUGUGUGAACAAGGUCAAAUGACAAUGUCUGAUGAUGUGUUUUCUUUCACUUUGUUAAAUCCUUAUUCCUGUUACUCGAUCCACAUUUAAUGGUACAUGCGUUGCAUGUCCACAGCCCCUGUGGUCACCAACCACUCACCCUUCAAUUUCAAAAAUCAUCCAAUGCAUGCAACUUCCCAAAUUCAGUUUAUUAUUUUUUCAUAGGCAAUGACCAACUUUUUUUAUAGUUAAGAACAUUCAUAUUAUACAUGUACCGUAUAUCUCUUAUGUUGAAUGGCUAUUCUGUUGAAAAUAUCUCUUUUACGUACAAUGUGAUGUAAUUUCUGCUUGUUCCCCUACCUUAUUGUGAUCGACAUACAUGUAUCAUCAAAAUAUUAUAUAAAUGUUGAUCCUC
rnacentral:misc_RNA from 1 species